rnacentral:rRNA from 1 species
CUUCGGGAACUCUGAGACACCGUGCUGCUUGGCUGUCGUCAGCUCGUGUUGUGAAAUGUUGGGUUUAGUCCCGCAAAGGAGCGGUCAACCCUUUUUCCNUUUGUUGCCAGCGGUCCGGCCGGGAACUCAAAGGAGACUGCCAGUGAUAAACUGGAGGAAGGUGGGGAUGACGUCAAGUCAUCAUGGCCCUUACGAGUAGGGCUACACACGUGCUACAAUGGCGCAUACAAAGAGAAGCGACCUCGCGAGAGCAAGCGGACCUCAUAAAGUGCGUCGUAUCCGGAUUGGAGUCUGCAACUCGACUCCAUGAAGUCGGAAUCGCUAGUAAUCGUAGAUCAGAAUGCUACGGUGAAUACGUUCCCGGGUCU